rnacentral:rRNA from 1 species
UGGGGAAUAUUGCACAAUGGGGGAAACCCUGAUGCAGCGACGCCGCGUGAACGAAGAAGGUAUUCGUAUCGUAUAGUUCUGUCCUAUGGGUAGAUAAUGACAGUACCAUAGAAGAAAGCUCCGGCUAAAUACGUGCCAGCAGCCGCGGUAAUACGUAUGGCGCGAGCGUUGUCCGGAAUCAUUGGGCGUAAAGGGUACGCAGGCGGUUUAAUAAGUAGAAUGUUAAAGAUCGGGGCUCAACCCCGCAAAGCAUUGGAAACUGAUAAACUUGAGUAAUGGAGAGGAAAGUGGAAUUCCUAGUGUAGUGGUGAAAUACGUAGAUAUUAAGAGGAAUACCAGUAGCGAAGGAGACUUUCUGGACACAAACUGACGCUGAGGUACGAGAGAGUGGGGAGCAAACAGG